UACGUAGGUGGCGAGCGUUGUCCGGAUUUACUGGGCGUAAAGGGAGCGUAGGCGGACUUUUAAGUGAGAUGUGAAAUACUCGGGCUCAACUUGAGUGCUGCAUUUCAAACUGGAGGUCUAGAGUGCAGGAGAGGAGAAUGGAAUUCCUAGUGUAGCGGUGAAAUGCGUAGAGAUUAGGAAGAACACCAGUGGCGAAGGCGAUUCUCUGGACUGUGACUGACGCUGAGGCUCGAAAGCGUGGGGAGCAAACAGG
rnacentral:rRNA from 1 species